rnacentral:rRNA from 1 species
GACAGAGGCCCCAAGCGUUAGGCGGAAUCACUGGGCUUAAAGCGUGUGUAGGCGGACGCCUAAGUGUCUUGUGAAAUCCCCCCGGCUCAACCGGGGAACUGCUGGGCAUACUGGCGGGCUUGGGUCGCUCAGGGGCAGACGGAACAGGCGGUGGAGCGGUGAAAUGCGUAGAUAUCGCCUGGAACGCCGAAGGUGAAAACAGUCUGCUGGGGGCGCACCGGACGCUGAGCACACGAAAGCCAGGGAGCGAACGGG